rnacentral:lncRNA from 1 species
CAAGACGUGUUAAUUAUUUGACUUUUUCAUAGGUGCUGAUGUUUAUUUCUCUGCGCUGACUUGCGUCGGCUUUACGACAGAUCCGCAUUAACCCCUACUCACCAAGAGCUUACGGGAAGGUGCCGUAAAAAUUACGCUACACUUGGCGUAAAUGAGAAAGCUCAGAGGAGCAUCGAGGCAAGAACAAGGAAGCAAAACAUGUGUGUAAAAUGGUACGCUUAUUGAACUGGUCAAAUCACAGCAUUAGCACCUACGAAAAAGUCAAAUAAUUAACACGCCCCACACGAGCG